AUGAUGUCAUUCUGCCCUGGGAUGAUGUCAUUCUGCCCUGGGAUGUGCAAGGAGAUGCUUCCGUUUGAAGAGGCGACUGUUUGACCAGGUCAUGCUCGUCAGAUGUGUGGAAGAGGAGAAAUGAAUCAUUGUGAAGGAGAUGACUCAGCAUUAUCAGUAUCUAAGAAGAGUAUUCGACAAACUGGACAACCACCUUCACAAAACUGAAGAGAACAUCAAGAACCACACUUCAUCUACAGGUAUGACAGAAGAAGGACACGGGGGACUGCGCUGCUGUCUUCUGCAGAAGCGACACCUUCUUCUGGAGAAACUGAGCUCUGUUGCUAGCACCUACGCUUGUUUUGAUGUGGACUCAUCUUUAUUCGUGUUGGAGGAAGAAAAAGAUGAUGAUGAAGAGGAAAGGCAACAGGAUGACAGCAGUUCAGAUCUUUUGGAGGAAGACAUAUAGACUGGCUGUGUGCAUGUGCUUAAUGUGUUACACAGUCACACAUUGCAAGCUACCAUGAAGCAAAAUUUAAACUCUGGUGGAAGAAUAUUUAGACCACUUUUUAUU